rnacentral:rRNA from 1 species
AAAUUGAAGAGUUUGAUCAUGGCUCAGAUUGAACGCUGGCGGCAGGCCUAACACAUGCAAGUCGAGCGGUAACACAGGGAGCUUGCUCCUGGGUGACGAGCGGCGGACGGGUGAGUAAUGUCUGGGAAACUGCCUGAUGGAGGGGGAUAACUACUGGAAACGGUAGCUAAUACCGCAUAACGU